UGUAUAAUAAUUUAUCUAUUUUUUUAUUUUAUUAAAUUUAGUAUAAAUGUAAAUAUUAAUUUUUUUUUCUAAAGUGGUUAAUUUUAUUUUUAAAAAAUAUUUUUUUAUUACCUUUUGUAUCAGGGUUAAUUAAUUUAAUUAUUUAUUUCUUUUUCCCGAAACAAAAAGGUCAUUAAGAUUAAUAUUUUACUUGUUUUAAAAAGUUAAUUAAUUCUUUUUUUGUAGAAAUACUCUAUUCGAUUUUUGUUAUAUCUGGUUAUUUAAGAUUAAAUUUAAUUUUUUAAUUAUUAUUUAAUUAAUAUUUUAUAAGGGAUAAUCUUUAUAUAUUUAUAUAAUUUUAUUUAAUAUUYAUUAUUAUUAAUUUUUAAAUUUUUUAUUUAGUUAUUAAUAUAUUAUAAUAUUUUUAUUAAAAUUUCUUUUAAUUUAUUUUUUUAUUAAGUUGAUUUAUUUAUUUAAAUUUUAAUUUUAAUUUUGAUUAAAUUAGUAAAAUAUUUAAAUUAAAUUUAAAUGAAUUCGACAAUUAUAAUUUUCAACUGUUUAUCAAAAACAUUUCUUUUAGUUUUUAUUAAAAGUAUAAUCUGCCCUAUGAAUAUUUAAAUGGCUGCAGUAUUUUGACUGUACAAAGGUAGCAUAAUAAUUAGUUUUUUAAUUGAGGACUGGAAUGAAAGAUUAAAUGAGAAAUUAAUUUUAUUAAAUUUAAUAUUUAAACUUUAUUUUUAGGUUAAAAAGCUUAAUUUUUUUUUUGGGACGAAAAGACCCUAUAGAACUUUAUUAAAAAUUUAUAAUUAAAUAUUUAAUUUAAUAUUUAAUUUUAUUAAUUUAAUUUUAUUGGGGUGAUAAAUAAAUUUAAACUUUAUUUUUUAAAAUCAUUAAUUUUUGAUUUAUUUGAUUAUAUAAAUUAUAAUAAAAGAAAAAGUUACCUUAGGGAUAACAGCGUAAUUUUUUUGGGGAGUUCAUAUCUAUAUAAAAGUUUGCGACCUCGAUGUUGAAUUAAGAUAAAUUAAGGAAGAAGUAUUUUUUAUAUUAAGUCUGUUCGACUUUUAAAUUCUUACAUGAUUUGAGUUCAAACCGGUGUAAGCCAGGUUGGUUUCUAUCUAGAAAUUUGKUUUUUAAUUUAGUACGAAAGGACCAAUUAAUUUAUUUAUUAAUAUUUUUAUUAAAUUAAA
rnacentral:rRNA from 1 species